AUGUGGAUCAUGUGGGGAUCUUGUUAAACUACAGAUUAUGAUUCAGGAGGGCCUGAAAGUCUGAAUUUUUAACGAGCUCCCAGAUGAUAUAGAU
rnacentral:pre_miRNA from 1 species